AACGAACGCUGGCGGCGUGCUUAACACAUGCAAGUCGAACGAUGAACCAGGGCUUGCCCUGGGAAUUAGUGGCGAACGGGUGAGUAACACGUGGGCAACCUGCCCCAGACACCGGGAUAACCAUCCGAAAGGAUGGCUAAUACCGGAUAUGACCACUUUGGGCAUCCAACGGUGGUGGAAAGGAUUCUGGUCUGGGAUGGGCCCGCGGCCUAUCAGCUAGUUGGUGGGGUAAUGGCCUACCAAGGCGACGACGGGUAGCCGGUCUGAGAGGAUGAUCGGCCACAUUGGGACUGAGACACGGCCCAGACUCCUACGGGAGGCAGCAGUAAGGAAUAUUGCGCAAUGGACGAAAGUCUGACGCAGCAACGCCGCGUGCAGGAUGAAGGCCCUUUGGGUUGUAAACUGCUGUAGAAAGGGAAUAAUAGUUUGCCACGGGUGAACUUGAAGGUACCUUUAAAGUAAGCGCCGGCUAACUACGUG
rnacentral:rRNA from 1 species